UACAGAGGGGGCAAGCGUUGUUCGGAAUUACUGGGCGUAAAGGGCGCGUAGGCGGCCUUCUAAGUCGAACGUGAAAUCCCCGGGCUCAACCCGGGAACUGCGUCCGAUACUGGAAGGCUUGAAUCCGGGAGAGGGAUGCGGAAUUCCAGGUGUAGCGGUGAAAUGCGUAGAUAUUGGGAAGAACACCUGAGGCGAAGGCGGGUUGCUGGGCUGAUACUGACGCUGAGGCGCGAAAGCCAGGGGAGCAAACGGG
rnacentral:rRNA from 1 species